AUUGAACGCUGGCGGCAGGCCUAACACAUGCAAGUCGAGCGGUUGAAGGGAGCUUGCUCCUGGAUUCCGCGGCGGACGGGUGAGUAAUGCCGAGGAAUCUGCCUGGUAGUGGGGGAUAACGUCGGGGAACGGGCGCUAAUACCGCAUACGUCCAGAGGGAGAAAGUGGGGGAUCUUCGGACCUCACGCUAUCAGAUGACCCUAGGUCGGAUUAGCUAGUUGGUGGGGUAAAGGCCUACCAAGGCGACGAUCCGUAACUGGUCUGAGAGGAUGAUCAGUCACACUGGGACUGAGACACGGUCCAGACUCCUACGGGAGGCAGCAGUGGGGAAUCUUGGACAAUGGGCGAAAGCCUGAUCCAGCCACGCCGCGUGUGUGAAGAAGGUCUUCGGAUUGUAAAGCUCUUUAAGUUGGGAGGAAGGGCAGUGAGAGAAUCCCUUGCUGUUUUGACGUUACCAAACGAGUAAGCCCCGGCUAACUUCGUG
rnacentral:rRNA from 1 species